rnacentral:rRNA from 1 species
CGCACGGGUGCGUAACGCGUAUGCAACCUACCUUUAACAGGAGAAUAGCCCCGAGAAAUCGGGAUUAACACUCCAUAACACUGCGAAGUGGCAUCACUAUGCAGUUAAAACUCCGGUGGUUAAAGAUGGGCAUGCGUGACAUUAGAUAGUUGGUGAGGUAACGGCUCACCAAGUCUACGAUGUCUAGGGGUUCUGAGAGGAUGAUCCCCCACACUGGUACUGAGACACGGACCAGACUCCUACGGGAGGCAGCAGUAAGGAAUAUUGGUCAAUGGACGCAAGUCUGAACCAGCCAUGCCGCGUGCAGGAAGACAGCCUUAUGGGUUGUAAACUGCUUUUAUACAGGAAUAAACCCCCUUUCGUGAAAGGGGCUGAAGGUACUGUACGAAUAAGGACCGGCUAACUCCGUGCCAGCAGCCGCGGUAAUACGGAGGGUCCAAGCGUUAUCCGGAUUUAUUGGGUUUAAAGGGUGCGCAGGCGGACCUAUCAGUCAGUGGUGUAAUCUCUCGGCUUAACCGGGAAACUGCCAUUGAUACUGUAGGUCUUGAGUUUGGUUGAAGUGGGCGGAAUGUAGCAUGUAGCGGUGAAAUGCAUAGAUAUGCUACAGAACACCGAUCGCGAAGGCAGCUCACUAAACCAAAACUGACGCUCAGGCACGAAAGCGUGGGUAGCGAACAGGAUUAGAUACCC